ACACAAGGAGAAGUUGUAUUGGAGAGUGAUGAGAAAGAAGCCAUUUCUGCAAGCACUCCACAAACCUCACCUGAGGUGUGCUUUUGUAUAAUGAGAAUAUAUAUUUGGCAUAAUAAGAAAUGGCUUCUUUCGCAUCACUCUCACAUAUAUGAAUUAUCAAACUGAAAUGGCUGUUGCAAAAACCCAAAUAUUUAGAACUAAAAAUGAUUAUGAUUAAUAGGGGUGCCCAAACUUUUUCAUAUGACUGUGCAUUGUUUUCUUACCAGAUUGGAAUCACUUUUGAGGGUCUAGACUAGAUAAGUGUAGGCACUGCAUGACAUGCAGGGGAGAGUAGAGUAUAGAGGGUGUAGUUAAAGAUGAGUGAGGGGGAGAGUAGAGUAUAGGAGGUGUAGUUAAAAGUGAGUGAGGCGGAGAGUAGAGUAUAGAGGGUGUAGUUAAAGAUGAGUGAGGGGGAGAGUAGAGUAUAGGAGGUGUAGUUAAAAGUGAGUGAGGGGGAGAGUAGAGUAUAGAGGGUGUAGUUAAAGAUGAGUGAGGGGGAGAGUAGAGUAUAGGAGGUGUAGUUAAAGGUGAGUGAGGGGGAGAGUAGAGUAUAGAGGGUGUAGUUAAAAGUGAGUGAUGGGGAGAGUAGAGUAUAGAGGGUGUAGUUAAAGGUGAGUGAGGGGGAGAGUAGAGUAUAGGAGGUGUAGUUAAAGGUGAGUGAGGGGGAGAGUAGAGUAUAGGAGGUGUAGUUAAAGGUGAGUGAGGGGGAGAGUAGAGUAUAGAGGUGUGGUUAAAGGUGAGUGAGGGGGAGAGUAGAGUAUAGAGGGUGUAGUUAAAGGUGAGUGAGGGGGAGAGUAGAGUAUAGAGGUGUGGUUAAAGGUGAGUGAGGGGGAGAGUAGAGUAUAGAGGUGUGG